AGAGUUUGAUCCUGGCUCAGAACGAACGCUGGCGGCGUGCUUAAGACAUGCAAGUCGAACGGUAAGGCACCUUCGGGUGUACACGAGUGGCGCACGGGUGAGUAACGCGUGGGUAAUCUGCCUUCGGGUUUGGAAUAACUUCGGGAAACUGGAGCUAAUACCGAAUAAGACCACGAGGUCCUUGGACCUUGCGGAAAAAGGUGGCCUCUUCUUGAAAGCUAUCGCCGGUUGAUGAGCCCGCGUCCCAUUAGCUUGUUGGUGAGGUAAAAGCUCACCAAGGCAUCGAUGGGUAGCUGGUCUGAGAGGAUGAUCAGCCACACUGGAACUGAGACACGGUCCAGACUCCUACGGGAGGCAGCAGUCGGGAAUCUUGGUCAAUGGGGGAAACCCUGAACCAGCAACGCCGCGUGAGGGAUGAAGGCCCUCGGGUCGUAA
rnacentral:rRNA from 1 species